AAGAAGUGAAAAUCCAACAGAAAAUAUUUGAACCCAGGAAUAAAAUAGAAGCCUGGAAGACUGAAGGAUAUUCACCACAGGUGAAAUCCCUCUCAGCAGCUGGCUUAUGAAAUAAUGUGAAGGGAGGCCUUAAUGAGCAGAACGCACCCUCAGCUGGAGAUAAAUAUAUGCAAAUGAGAUGCACAAACAAAGAAGCCUGGACAGAGAAAUAUCUGCAAUUCCAGCAAAAUGCUGCCUGCAGCUCGAAGAUGAACAGCUUUGAUAAAAUGGUAACAAAAAGCACCUUUUUAUCCUCCAGCGUGUUUUACAUUGCAAUAGACCAUUGUCAUUGCAACCCAGUGGAGCAUGCAGAGGUUUUCUGCACUGUUUCAGAAAACUGUUUAAACAUUUGUUUUAAGGCAUUCAUGAAAUAUAAUCAAUGAACUGC
rnacentral:lncRNA from 1 species